UCAAGAACAUUUGGCAAUGGGCGCAAGCCUGACCAUGCGACGCCGCGUGGUUGACGAAGUCCUUCGGGACGUAAAGACCUUUUAUGAGGGAGGAAGUAAUUGACGUUACCUCAUGAAUAAGGGGCUCCUAACUCUGUGCCAGCAGGAGCGGUAAUACAGAGGCCCCAAGCAUUAUCCGGAAUCACUGGGCGUAAAGGGUGUGCAGGCGGCUGAGUUAGUCUUUCGUGAAAGGCCCCGGGCUCAACCCGAGGAGCGCAGGAGAAACGGCAAAGCUUCGAGGACGCGAGAGGUAGAGGGAACUCAUGGUGUAGGGGUGAAAUCCGUUGAUAUCAUGGGGAACACCAAAUGCGAAGGCACUCUACUGGCGCGCUCCUGACGCUCAUACACGAAAGCGUGGGAAUCGAACGGGAUUAGAUACCCCGGUAGUCC
rnacentral:rRNA from 1 species